UAAGAUUGUUGGUGUAUUCUGUGUAAGUAUAAGUACCUAACUUGCUUAUAUUAAAAACACAUUGAAGAACAAUAAGUAAGUACCUGUUUGUGAUUGACUACUGUUCGAUAAAACACAUGAUUUAAUUAUUGCUUCUUAUCUAAAACAUUAACUUUAGCCUUCAAAUAGUUUUGGUUAUCAUAAAAGUUUUCCCGGAAAUUAUUAUUGAAAACCAUCAACGAUUAAGCCUGGUACGCUGUUUUUUCACACUAAAUAAUGCUUGAGAGAUUGUAUUCAUGUAAACUAACAACAAUGCACAGUGGUACCGGUUUCUAAGAAGGGCGGCCAUAGGGGAUUAUGGUUAGGAUAGCAACAAAAUAUACUUGAAUACGUUCAUAACUAGGGAUAGGAUGUUGUGGACCUAAAAACUUAAAAAAAGGCAAAAUAAAACUCUAAAAAAGGCAUAAAAAGGCAUUUAUUGAUUGAAAGCAUGUAAUAUAAAAAUUAAUUGUAGUAAUUUUGAACAAUCAUGAGUUUUUUUUAAAUUUUCAGGUAACAAGCGCCUGCGAUUGUCCCUUAUUGGAGACUUUUCACGGUUUGAUUUUUGCCGUGCGGCCAAGCUUUUUUAACUCGUGUGAACGUAAGCUGCAAAUCGUGCGACAUAUCGCGCGGCUAAAAUCGACUCGUGAAAAGUCGUCAUAAGUGCUUUAAAGGAGCUAAAGAUUAAAUUAAUUAAUUAAUUAAAGCACUCGACAUCACCCACUUCAACAUUUGCCGGGAGCUCUUGAUUUGUGUUCCCAUUUAUUACUCAAUCUACUUGUUCAACUCUCUCGAGUCCCUUAUUGCAAAAAAAAACUGAUUUGUACUUCUCAACAACAUCUUUUGCGACUGCCCUUUUCUCGGCUUCCAAAUCUCUCUUGAUUUUCAAAAUCUGGAGAACUUCUCCAAUCGAAUAUUGUAAAUUGAGUAAGUUAGCUUUUGAACCCUGAUACGUGUCGGUUGCCGGCCGCGCAAUAGAACAUAGAAGGCAUUAAAUGGUAGCAAUAGCAGACAAACAAGUUGCAUUGGUAGAUCCUUAAUAUAGAUAUAUUGAGUAAGUUGUCUUUUUGUUUGUAUUUGAGUGUUUUGUGUGUAGGUAUUACUUUAAAGACGCUAAAAAGAUUGAAAAAAAAAACAUAUAAAAAGGCAAAAAAAGGCAAUAACAAGAGAAAAGGCAAAAAAAGGCAAAAAUGUAAGAAAAGGCAAAAAAAAGGCAAAAUAAAAUACAUAUUUUUGGCACGAGGGGGACGUGAAACGUGUUUGUUUUUAAUUUAUAGUGUCGUACGAUUGAGCAAGAAAAAAAGGCAAAUUCCACAACAUCCUAU